AGGCUUACAAAGGUUGGCCCAGAACGGUUGGAAUUCGUUCGUAGAGUAUAAAGGCAUAAGCCAGCUUAACUGCGAGACAUACACGUCAAGCAGAGACGAAAGUCGGUCUUAGUGAUCCGGUGGUGCUGUGUGGAAGGGCCAUCGCUCAAAGGAUAAAAGGUACCCCGGGGAUAACAGGCUGAUCUCCCCCAAGAGCUCACAUCGACGGGGAGGUUUGGCACCUCGAUGUCGGCUCAUCGCAUCCUGGGGC
rnacentral:rRNA from 1 species